GAUGAACGCUGGCGGCGUGCCUAAUACAUGCAAGUCGAGCGAACGGACGAGAAGCUUGCUUCUCUGAUGUUAGCGGCGGACGGGUGAGUAACACGUAGAUAACCUACCUAUAAGACUGGGAUAACUUCGGGAAACCGUAGCUAAUACCGGAUAAUAUUUUGAACCGCAUGGUUCAAAAGUGAAAGACGGUCUUGCUGUCACUUAUAGAUGGAUCCGCGCUGCAUUAGCUAGUUGGUAAGGUAACGGCUUACCAAGGCAACGAUGCAUAGCCGACCUGAGAGGGUGAUCGGCCACAUUGGAACUGAGACACGGUCCAGACUCCUACGGGAGGCAGCAGUAGGGAAUCUUCCGCAAUGGGCGAAAGCCUGACGGAGCAACGCCGCGUGAGUGAUGAAGGUCUUCGGAUCGUAAAACUCUGUUAUUAGGGAAGAACAUAUGUGUAAGUAACUGUGCACAUCUUGACGGUACCUAAUCAGAAAGCCACGGCUAACUACGUG
rnacentral:rRNA from 1 species